GUAAUAAGUGUUUUAUGGCACUUUUUAAAUCCAUAUCCACCUUGUGUGCAAUGUCGGUCGAUCUUCUUCAUGGAGAUCGACCAAACAUCAACCUUUAUCUUUUAACUCUUUGUCUGAAAAAUAUUAUGAAUAAACAAUUCAAAAUA
rnacentral:misc_RNA from 1 species